GCACAAGCGGUGGAGCAUGUGGUUUAAUUCGACGCAACGCGCAGAACCUUACCAGGGUUUGACAUCCUGAGACCGCUCCUGAAAGGGAGUUUUCCCGCAAGGGACUCAGAGACAGGUGCUGCAUGGCUGUCGUCAGCUCGUGUCGUGAGAUGUUGGGUUAAGUCCCGCAACGAGCGCAACCCUCGCCUUUAGUUGCCAUCAUUAAGUUGGGCACUCUAGAGGGACCGCCGGCGACAAGCCGGAGGAAGGUGGGGAUGACGUCAAGUCCUCAUGGCCCUUACACCCUGGGCUACACACGUGCUACAAUGGCGGUGACAGUGAGCAGCUAGUUCGCGAGAACGUGCUAAUCUCAAAAAACCGUCCCAGUUCAGAUUGCACUCUGCAACUCGAGUGCAUGAAGGUGGAAUCGCUAGUAAUCGCAGAACAGCAGGCUGCGGUGAAUACGUUCCCGGGC
rnacentral:rRNA from 1 species